rnacentral:rRNA from 1 species
GGGGCGGUUUCCGGGAUAUUGGGCGUAAGAGCUCGUAGGCGGUUUGUCGCGUCUGCCGUGAAAGUCCGGGGCUCAACUCCGGAUCUGCGGUGGGUACGGGCAGACUAGAGUGAUGUAGGGGAGACUGGAAUUCCUGGUGUAGCGGUGAAAUGCGCAGAUAUCAGGAGGAACACCGAUGGCGAAGGCAGGUCUCUGGGCAUUAACUGACGCUGAGGAGCGAAAGCAUGGGGAGCGAACAGGAUUAGAUACCCUGGUAGUCCAUGCCGUAAACGUUGGGCACUAGGUGUGGGGGACAUUCCACGUUUUCCGCGCCGUAGCUAACGCAUUAAGUGCCCCGCCUGGGGAGUACGGCCGCAAGGCUAAAACUCAAAGGAAUUGACGGGGGCCCGCACAAGCGGCGGAGCAUGCGGAUUAAUUCGAUGCAACGCGAAGAACCUUACCAAGGCUUGACAUGAACCGGUAAGACCUGGAAACAGGUCCCCCACUUGUGGCCGGUUUACAGGUGGUGCAUGGUUGUCGUCAGCUCGUGUCGUGAGAUGUUGGGUUAAGUCCCGCAACGAGCGCAACCCUCGUUCCAUGUUGCCAGCGCGUUAUGGCGGGGACUCAUGGGAGACUGCCGGGGUCAACUCGGAGGAAGGUGGGGACGACGUCAAAUCAUCAUGCCCCUUAUGUCUUGGGCUUCACGCAUGCUACAAUGGCCGGUACAAAGGGUUGCGAUACUGUGAGGUGGAGCUAAUCCCAAAAAGCCGGUCUCAGUUCGGAUUGGGUCUGCAACUCGACCCCAUGAAGUCGGAGUCGCUAGUAAUCGCAGAUCAGCAACGCUGCGGUGAAUACGUUCCCGGGCCUUGUACACACCGCCCGUCAAGUCACGAAAGUUGGUAACACCCGAAGCCGGUGGCCUAACCCCUUGUGGGAGGGAGCUGUCGAAAGUGGGACUGGCGAUUGGGACUAAGUCGUAACAAGGUAAC